GCCCAGGGUAACUUUAGUGGCGGACGGGUGAGUAACACGUGAGAAUUUACCUUUAGGAGGGGAAUAACAGUUGGAAACGACUGCUAAUGCCGCAUAUCAUAUUUAUGAAAGAAGAAAUUCGCCUAAAGAAAAGCUUGCGUCUGAUUAGCUAGUUGGUAAGGGUAAAGGCCUACCAAGGCGACGAUCAGUAGCUGGUUUGAGAGGACGAUCAGCCACACUGGAACUGAGACACAGUCCAGACUCCUACGGGAGGCAGCAGUGGGGAAUUUUCUGCAAUGGGCGAAAGCCUGACAGAGCAAUACCGCGUGAGGGAAGAAAGCCCACAGGGUUGAAAACCUCUUUUGUCAAGGAAGAAGUUCUGACGUUACUUGACGAAUAAGCAUCGGCUAACUCCGUGCCAGCAGCCGCGGUAAGACGGGGGACGCAAGUGUUAUCCGGAAUCACUGGGCGUAAAGCGUUUGUAGGUGGUUUAGUAAGUCUAUUAUUAAAUCUUGAGGCUUAACUUCAAAAGUGUAAUAGAAACUACUAGACUUGAGGAUAGUAGGGGUAAAGGGAAUUUCCAGUGGAGCGGUGAAAUGCGUAGAGAUUGGAAGGACCACCGAUGGCGAAGGCACUUUACUGGGCUAUUUCUGACACUAAGAGACGAAAGC
rnacentral:rRNA from 1 species